GACGAACGCUGGCGGCGUGCCUAAUACAUGCAAGUAGAACGCUGAAGGAGGAGCUUGCUUCUCUGGAUGAGUUGCGAACGGGUGAGUAACGCGUAGGUAACCUGCCUGGUAGCGGGGGAUAACUAUUGGAAACGAUAGCUAAUACCGCAUAAUAGUAGAUGUUGCAUGACAUUUGCUUAAAAGGUGCAAUUGCAUCACUACCAGAUGGACCUGCGUUGUAUUAGCUAGUUGGUGGGGUAACGGCUCACCAAGGCGGCGAUACAUAGCCGACCUGAGAGGGGGGUCGGCCACAAUGGGACUGAGACACGGCCCAGACCCCUACGGGAGGCAGCAGUAGGGGAUCUUCGGCAAUGGACGGAAGUCUGACCGAGCAACGCCGCGGGAGUGGAGAAGGGUUUCGGAUCGUAAAGCUCUGUUGUAAGAGAAGAACGAGUGUGAGAGUGGAAAGUUCACACUGUGACGGUAGCUAACCAGAAAGGGACGGCUAACUACGUG
rnacentral:rRNA from 1 species